UUGGGCGGCAGGGCGCGAGCACUUAACAUGCGGUCCAGCAAGGUCUUUGCAAAACAUCGAUCAUGUCAUUUCCUCGCUUGGAACGAAUUCAGCCUCUCAUAGCGGGCAACAGCACCAAGGCCUGAAAGGAAGGCUUGCUGGGUGCCAGGAAGCAGGACAUUGCAUUAAAAAGCAGGUCUGGUUCAGCACUAAUCCCUACCUACUUCUGCUUGGUCCCGCCAGCUCGCUACCAUGGAUUCCUGAGAUCUUUUUGUUCCGGCUCACUUCCUUCCUCUGGCCAUCAACCUAAGGAGGUCCUGUUUGCAAGCCAUUGUCCAUGACAUUGCUUUUUGUUUGGGUUUUUGAUUGUUGAGUCUGGUCUUGAACUUGUGAUCUUCCUGCCUCUUCAAUGUUAAGUGAACCACCAUCCCUGAAACAUUAGUUUCCUUGAUGAUACUCCAUCCUGUAUUUGUUUUGAAAUUGUACACUGGUGUGAGAUCCCUUGGAACUGGAGUUACAGACAAUUGUGAGCUACCAUGUGGGUGCUGGGAAUUGAACCCAGGUCCUGUGGAAGAGUAGACAGUGCUCUUAACCACUGAGCCAUCGCUCCAGCACCUUGUGUGCUGGUCUUAAACUUGAACAGGCUGCCUUGGAAACUCGC
rnacentral:lncRNA from 1 species